UUGAAUGUCAAAACGACUCUCGGCAACGGAUAUCUCGGCUCUCGCAUCGAUGAAGAACGUAGCGAAAUGCGAUACUUGGUGUGAAUUGCAGAAUCCCGUGAACCAUCGAGUCUUUGAACGCAAGUUGCGCCCAAAGCCUUCGGGCCGAGGGCACGCCUGCCUGGGCGUCACGCAUCGCG
rnacentral:rRNA from 1 species